GACCUUGUUCUGCCAGCAGGGUUCUGGGCUGCCUUUGACACAGUCUCUCCUGACCUCAUCCCAAAGUCCUCUUGGGAAAGAUGAGAGGCUUUCUCUUUAUCUGACUUAUUCUCAUGCCACUGGCACAGUAGACAUCUAAAAACUGAGUUUUGGAAUUGGUCCUGAGCACAAGAAAAUGUCAGAAUAGCCCAGAGGAGAGUAAGCACACUGCUGGAUGCAUGCUUGCUCAUCUUUAGUCCUUUGCUGGGAGUGUGCUGAGAAGUUGUCUUCUCAGCAUCUCCUUGCUUGGAUCAUGUGGAGUUCAGAAAAUUCUGUUCUUAAAAAACAAAAUUACUGUCCAAUCUUGGGAAUCUCUUUCAAAGAGCUAAACUGAAAUAUAGUUUUAAAAAUCUGUUUUUAGAAAAAUUAUGAAAAGACAACCUUCUGGUAUGUCUCAGAAGAUCAGAGGGAGAUGGGGAGCAAGUCAGGAGAAAGCCUGACAUCUCAGCUUCUCCUUGAAGGAGGUUUGGUUUAGCUCUGUGCACUGUCACACAAUUAUCUCAAUCCAGAGACGUGAUCUUGCUGGCUCCAGCAAGGGCGCUGGGACCGCGAUGUGCCAGUGGUAGGCAGGAAAUCUGAAGAAUGCAUCUGUUACCAACAGGCGGUCAGAUGGGGAGGAGGAGAGCAGUGGGUGAGCCCCUGGCUAGGGGACUCGGAGAAGGAGACAGGCUGGUUUCAGAGCAAAGGCUGUGACAUUUAAUUGACUGUGGCCAAGGAGACUGGCUUGGACCCGAGGCAGUGGUGCCUGCCCUGCUUUAACCACAGCCUGUUUUCUGAGCACGGGGCACCUGUACAGCAUUGGGCUGGGAGAGUCCAGGUGGGUGCGGUGAGCCCAAGAUCUUGUGUUUGGGAAAUGAUAACUUUGGUUUGGGAUUUUGCAUCAGAGUGGCUCAUUGUGGUGUUGUCUAAUAGCUACUUUGAUGGCAAGAAUAAUUUUCAGGUUUUGUAUAACACUGCAGCUUCCUCUGUCUCCUUUUCCUGGCACAAAAAUCAUCUGUAAUUGCUCUAGUAGCUGCAGGAAAAUCCUGAUGGAUUAUUUCCACCCCAGCUGAUAGCUUCGAACAGUACCUCUGCCACUUUGGUGUUGAGGCAUGUUUGUUAACCAACAGCUGCUUGAAGAACCUCAAAUGGACGGGGCUGGAGCAGGACCCAACAGUUGCUGGUUGUGUGUAGUUCAGCAAAUGCUGGGAGCAAUUUUCACGCUCGUCCGUGGGCUUGUCCCAAGUACAUGUUGCAUCUGUUUGCCUUGAAAUUGAUUUUAGAAGUGCAGCAGGCUCUAUGGCACUGGUUAGCAGCCUCACGUAGCUGGUGUAUCUGGAAUGUCUCUCCCUUGCAGAGAAAGUGUGUUGGCUGCAGAGCACAGCCAGCCUUUGUUAUGGGGAUUUGAUUCCUGGCUAGCGAGAACUAAGAACUGCGUAGGCAACUUUGGGUGCUAGGGUGCAUUUUUGUUUUACGGGAAAGUUUCAGGGCAAGUUGCUCUGGUCUUUUUCUCAUGCCUUGCAUUUCUCAGCAGGAGCAGUAAGAGGGUAAUACUUCUGGACCUUGCUAACUGAUGUGCUUAAACCCUAAUAAGAAAGAAUAAGGGCUGUGGCCUUUGAGGUGAAACAGUGGGUCAAUUUACAGUGAGAUGUUGCUGCCUGUACUUAGUCCCCUUACAUUUUGAAGAAAUCAGCUAUAAUUUCAUUUUUUUAACAAAAAAAAAAAAAAGGUUGACAGUUGAUGUCCCCAAACUCCCAGGAGCUUCCCAUCUGGAGCUUGAAGAAGGUGUGAUUCCCUCAUUUCUAGAUAAUUCCUGCUGAUUAUCUCUGUUUGUUAUCAUGGUGGGGAUCGCCUUGAAACUGCUUCUCAGAUCCUCUCCUUGCUUGUUAGCAGAUUCCAGCUGGCUGUAGACAAAAUACUUUUCUCUGCAAACUUGGUUGUGGGAUGGAAACAACGCCAGGCAUCUGCAGCAUGGCGGAGGAGUGCCUCGCAGGCACGCACUCCUGCACAGAUAUGUGGGCUCUGUGCGUAAUCAGGUUGUUGCUCUGAGCAUCCGGGGAGACUGAGGAAUGCAGUGAUAAGGAGAAUCCUGCGAAGGAGCUGACCUGAGGUUGCAGGAUCUGGUUUGCCUUUCCUUGCCACACUUGAAUGCCAGCUUUCCAGCAAUCUGCUGAUGGCAGGAAUAAAUUGCCGGGGUUGGUUAACUGUGCGGCAGCAGCACUAAACCCCCAGCACUUGGCAUCCCUGCUGUGUGGUAUUUUUGCUUCCCUUUGGCCUUUCACUUAUUAAAAAGUCACGCUGGAAGAAGA